AGUGAACGCUGGCGGUAGGCCUAACACAUGCAAGUCGAACGGCAGCACAGUAAGAGCUUGCUCUUACGGGUGGCGAGUGGCGGACGGGUGAGGAAUACAUCGGAAUCUACUUUUUCGUGGGGGAUAACGUAGGGAAACUUACGCUAAUACAGCAUACGACGUACGGGUGAAAGCAGGGGAUCUUCGGACCUUGCGCGAUUGAAUGAGCCGAUGUCGGAUUAGCUAGUUGGCGGGGUAAAGGCCCACCAAGGCGACGAUCCGUAGCUGGUCUGAGAGGAUGAUCAGCCACACUGGAACUGAGACACGGUCCAGACUCCUACGGGAGGCAGCAGUGGGGAAUAUUGGACAAUGGGCGCAAGCCUGAUCCAGCCAUACCGCGUGGGUGAAGAAGGCCUUCGGGUUGUAAAGCCCUUUUGUUGGGAAAGAAAAGCAGCAGGUUAAUACCCCGCUGUUCUGACGGUACCCAAAGAAUAAGCACCGGCUAACUUCGUG
rnacentral:rRNA from 1 species